ACGGCUCAGUAACACGUAGCUAAUCUACCCUUAAGUCAAGGAUAACCUUCGGGAAACUGAGGGUAAUACUUGAUAGGAGAUUUACCCUGGAAUGAUUAAUCUCUCAAACUCGAGCUUAAGGAUGAGGCUGCGGCGGAUUAGGUUGUUGGCGGGGUAAUAGCCCACCAAGCCUGUGAUCCGUAAGGGCUCUUAGCGGAGAGGCCCUGAGAGGGAAUCUGAGACACUAUUCCCAGCCCCACGGGGUGCAGCAGUUAAGAAUAAUCUGCAAUGCGCGAAAGCGUGACAGUUUGAACCAGAGUGCUCCUCAACAGAGGAGCUUUUGUGAAGUGUAAAAAGUUUCACGAAUAAGGACUGGGUAAGACGAGUGCCAGCCGCCGCGGUAAUACUCGCGGUCCAAGUCGCAGCCAUUUUUAUUGGGUCUAAAACAUCCGUAGCUUGCUUAAUAAGUUUCUUGUGAAAUUUUGUAUCUCAAGUACAAAGCGUGCAAGAAAUACUGUUGAGCUAGAGAUUGGGAGACGUAAGAAGUACGUUCAAAGUAGCGGUAAAAUGUGUUAAUCUUGGACGGACUAACAAUAGCGAAGGCAUCUUACGAGAACAGUUCUGACAGUAAGGGAUGAAGGCUAGGGGCGCAAAACGGAUUAGAUACCCGUGUAGUCCUAGCAGUAAACACUGCACACUAAACAUCGGGACCUCUUCGAGAGGUUUCGGUGCUGAAGGGAAGCCGGAGAGUGUGCUACCUGGGAAGUAUAGUCGCAAGGCCGAAACUUAAAGGAAUUGGCGGGGGAGCAC
rnacentral:rRNA from 1 species